rnacentral:rRNA from 1 species
AGCGAACGCUGGCGGCAGGCCUAACACAUGCAAGUCGAGCGCCCCGCAAGGGGCGCGGCAGACGGGAGAGUAACACGUGGGAACGUACCCUUUGGUUCGGAACAACCCAGGGAAACUUGGGCUAAUACCGAAUAAGCCCUUACGGGGAAAGCUUUAUCGCCGAAGGAUCGGCCCGCGUCUGAUUAGCUAGUCGGUGAGGUAACGGCUCUCCAAGGCGACGAUCAGUAGCUGGUGUGAGAGGCUGAUCAGCCUCACUGGGACUGAGACCCGGCCCAGACUCCUACGGGAGGGAGCAGUGGGAAAUAUUGGACAAUGGGCGCAAGCCUGAUCCAGCCAUGCGGCGUGGGUGAUGAAGGCCCUAGAGUUGUAAAGCCCUUUCGGCGGGGAAGAUAAUGACGGGACCCGCAGAAGGAGCCCCGGCCAACUUCGUGCCAGCCGCCGCGGUAA